GAUGAACGCUGGCGGCGUGCCUAAUACAUGCAAGUCGAGCGAACGGACGAGAAGCUUGCUUCUCUGAUGUUAGCGGCGGACGGGUGAGUAACACGUGGAUAACCUACCUAUAAGACUGGGAUAACUUCGGGAAACCGGAGCUAAUACCGGAUAAUAUUUUGAACCGCAUGGUUCAAAAGUGAAAGACGGUCUUGCGGUCACUUAUAGAUGGAUCCGCGCUGCAUUAGCUAGUUGGUAAGGUAACGGCUUACCAAGGCAACGAUGCAUAGCCGACCUGAGAGGGUGAUCGGCCACACUGGAACUGAGCCACGGUCCUGACUCCUACGGGCGGCAGCAGUAGGGAAUCUUCCGCACUGGGCGAAAGCCUGACGGAGCAGCGCCGCGUGAGUGAUGAAGGUCUUCGGAUCGUAAAACUCUGUUAUUAGGGAAGAACAUAUGUGUAAGUAACUGUGCACAUCUUGACGGUACCUAAUCAGAAAGCCCCGGCUAACUACGUG
rnacentral:rRNA from 1 species